rnacentral:snoRNA from 1 species
AUUAAAUGAUGAACGAUUAUAUUUGCUACUUCGGACGAGGCCAUCAACCUCGAAUGAGACAUACUAAUUAUCACCAAGAUCUCUGAUAUU